UUAUAUAAUCACUCAUUAUGGUUCUUAAGUUGAAUCUAUGUUUCAUGAAACACUGAAGUUCUGUGUGUGCAAUGAAGCAACAGCUGCACUGAGGGGGAAACACCAUGAUAUGUUGAGGACAGCUACAGUUCACUGACUCUGUGUGUUUGCAUAUGUGUCCUUCCUCUCUGCUCCCAGCCGUUAAGAGGCCAGUGUUGAUCAGUGGCUGUCCAGGCCUUUCAGAGCCACUGACACGCCGGCAGCACAAUGAUAAUGUCACUGACUCUACUGCUGGCCACCCUGGGGCUCCUUGUUCAGGAUUCAUCAGGAGAAGUCAUUGUGACUCAGUCUCCUAAAGCUCAGUCUGUUGUUCCAGGACAGACUGUCUCUAUCAGAUGUAACGUUAGUCCAAGCACUGGUUACUGCUUCAGCUGGUACCUUUAGAAACCUGGAGAAUCUCCUAAACUCCUAAUUACUUGUGGUUCAACCCGUCAGUCUGGAGUUUCAGAUCGUUUCAGUGGGAGCGGAUCUGGUAGUGAUUACACUCUGACCAUCAGUGGAGUCCAGACUGAAGAUGCAGCAGUUUACUACUGUCAGAGUGCUCAUUACAUCAACAGUCAGUGGUUGUUCACACAGUGAAAAAGCGUCGUACAAAAACCUCCCUCCGCUGGAGAGGAACUGAUCUCAAUCAACAGCUGCACAGACAUUAAAACACUACAUGAUGGAUUAACAUACAUUGUUCAAUUUCAACAAGAAAAUAUUUUUCAUAUUUUUCUUCAAUAUAAUUUUUAGGAGUAAUUUUUGUGCCAUUCCUGAUGAAAAAAAGAAGAUUGCUGAAAAUCAGAAUGACAGCUGCAUAAUUUUAGCUCUUAAACAUUAUAGUUUGAGUAACAUAAAAACAUAUACUCAGUGAAUCUAUAAAAAAACUUACAAAUGUUUAGGAAUGACAAUAUUUAUAUUUAUAUUUUUUACAUUUGCUUUGAAAAAAAGUUAUUUUUGUUGAAAUAAUUUGAGAUCUCAACAGAAUAAAAUGAAUUUGUUUCAUAAAUGAUGUAUCAUUAUCAACACCGUUUAUGAAUCUAAAACAUUGCGAGUCUCUUCUUGUUGAUUAAAUCAUGAAAAAAUGAU